rnacentral:rRNA from 1 species
GGACCCGCACAAGCGGUGGAUUAUGUGGAUUAAUUCGAUGCAACGCGAAAAACCUUACCUACCCUUGACAUGUCCUGAAUCCUGGAGAGAUCCGGGGGUGCCCGAAAGGGAACGGGAACACAGGUGCUGCAUGGCUGUCGUCAGCUCGUGUCGUGAGAUGUUGGGUUAAGUCCCGCAACGAGCGCAACCCUUGUCAUUAGUUGCUACCGCAAGGAGCACUCUAAUGAGACUGCCGGUGACAAACCGGAGGAAGGUGGGGAUGACGUCAAGUCCUCAUGGCCCUUAUGGGUAGGGCUUCACACGUAAUACAAUGGUCGGUACAGAGGGUUGCCAAGCCGCGAGGCGGAGCCAAUCCCAGAAAGCCGAUCGUAGUCCGGAUCGCAGUCUGCAACUCGACUGCGUGAAGUCGGAAUCGCUAGUAAUCGCGGAUCAGCAUGUCGCGGUGAAUACGUUCCCGGGUCUU